GCCGGAGUGGUGAAAUUGGUAGACACGCUAGCCUUAGGAGCUAGUGUCUGAAAAGACGUGUGGGUUCAAGUCCCUCCUCCGGUACCA
rnacentral:tRNA from 1 species